rnacentral:rRNA from 1 species
UACGUAGGGCGCAAGCGUUGUCCGGAAUUAUUGGGCGUAACGAGCUCGUAGGCGGUCUGUCGCGUCGGGUGUGAAAGCCCGGGGCUUAACCCCGGGUCUGCAUUCGAUACGGGCAGACUAGAGUGUGGUAGGGGAGAUCGGAAUUCCUGGUGUAGCGGUGAAAUGCGCAGAUAUCAGGAGGAACACCGGUGGCGAAGGCGGAUCUCUGGGCCAUUACUGACGCUGAGGAGCGAAAGCGUGGGGAGCGAACAGG